rnacentral:rRNA from 1 species
CCUACGGGGGGCAGCAGUCGAGAAUCAUUCACAAUGGGGGAAACCCUGAUGGUGCGACGCCGCGUGGGGGAAUGAAGGUCUUCGGAUUGUAAACCCCUGUCAUGUGGGAGCAAAUUAAAAAGAUAGUACCACAAGAGGAAGAGACGGCUAACUCUGUGCCAGCAGCCGCGGUAAUACAGAGGUCUCAAGCGUUGUUCGGAAUCACUGGGCGUAAAGCGUGCGUAGGCUGUUUCGUAAGUCGGGUGUGAAAGGCGCGGGCUCAACCCGCGGACGGCACAUGAUACUGCGAGACUAGAGUAAGGGAGGGGGAACCGGAAUGCUCGGUGUAGCAGUGAAAUGCGUAGAUAUCGAGAGGAACACUCGUGGCGAAGGCGGGUUCCUGGACAUUAACUGACGCUGAGGCACGAAGGCCAGGGGAGCGAAAGGGAUUAGAUACCCGAGUAGUC